AUUGAACGCUGGCGGCAGGCCUAACACAUGCAAGUCGAACGGUAACAGGAAACAGCUUGCUGUUUCGCUGACGAGUGGCGGACGGGUGAGUAAUGUCUGGGAAACUUCCUGAUGGAGGGGGAUAACUACUGGAAACGGUAGCUAAUACCGCAUAACGUCGCAAGACCAAAGAGGGGGACCUUCGGGCCUCUUGCCAUCGGAUGUGCCCAGAUGGGAUUAGCUAGUAGGUGGGGUAACGGCUCACCUAGGCGACGAUCCCUAGCUGGUCUGAGAGGAUGACCAGCCACACUGGAACUGAGACACGGUCCAGACUCCUACGGGAGGCAGCAGUGGGGAAUAUUGCACAAUGGGCGCAAGCCUGAUGCAGCCAUGCCGCGUGUAUGAAGAAGGCCUUCGGGUUGUAAAGUACUUUCAGCGGGGAUGAAGGGAGUAAAGUUAAUACCUUUGCUCAUUGACGUUACCCGCAGAAGAAGCACCGGCUAACUCCGUG
rnacentral:rRNA from 1 species